GCUCAGGAUGAACGCUGGCGGCGUGCCUAAUACAUGCAAGUCGAGCGAACAGAUAAGGAGCUUGCUCCUUUGACGUUAGCGGCGGACGGGUGAGUAACACGUGGGUAACCUACCUAUAAGACUGGAAUAACUCCGGGAAACCGGGGCUAAUGCCGGAUAACAUGUUGAACCGCAUGGUUCUACAGUGAAAGACGGUCUUGCUGUCACUUAUAGAUGGACCCGCGCCGUAUUAGCUAGUUGGUGGGGUAACGGCCUACCAAGGCGACGAUACGUAGCCGACCUGAGAGGGUGAUCGGCCACACUGGAACUGAGACACGGUCCAGACUCCUACGGGAGGCAGCAGUAGGGAAUCUUCCGCAAUGGGCGAAAGCCUGACGGAGCAACGCCGCGUGAGUGAUGAAGGUCUUCGGAUCGUAAAGCUCUGUUGUUAGGGAAGAACAAAUGUGUAAGUAACUGUGCACAUCUGA
rnacentral:rRNA from 1 species